AGAGUUUGAUCCUGGCUCAGAACGAACGCUGGCGGCAGGCUUAACACAUGCAAGUCGAACGCACCUUUCGGGGUGAGUGGCAGACGGGUGAGUAACGCGUGGGAACGUGCCCUUCAGUUCGGAAUAACCCAGGGAAACUUGGGCUAAUACCGGAUACGUGCGAGAGCAGAAAGAUUUAUCGCUGAAGGAUCGGCCCGCGUCUGAUUAGCUAGUUGGUAGGGUAAUGGCCUACCAAGGCGACGAUCAGUAGCUGGUCUGAGAGGAUGAUCAGCCACAUUGGGACUGAGACACGGCCCAAACUCCUACGGGAGGCAGCAGUGGGGAAUAUUGGACAAUGGGCGCAAGCCUGAUCCAGCCAUGCCGCGUGAGUGAUGAAGGCCUUAGGGUUGUAAAGCUCUUUCGGCGGGGACGAUAAUGACGGUACCCGCAGAAGAAGCCCCGGCUAACUUCGUGCCAGCAGCCGCGGUAAUACGAAGGGGGCUAGCGUUGUUCGGAAUCACUGGGCGUAAAGGGCGCGUAGGCGGCCAAUCAAGUCGGGGGUGAAAGCCUGUGGCUCAACCACAGAAUUGCCUUCGAUACUGUUUGGCUCGAGACCGGAAGAGGUAAGUGGAACUGCGAGUGUAGAGGUGAAAUUCGUAGAUAUUCGCAAGAACACCAGUGGCGAAGGCGGCUUACUGGUCCGGUUCUGACGCUGAGGCGCGAAAGCGUGGGGAGCAAACAGGAUUAGAUACCCUAGUAGUCC
rnacentral:rRNA from 1 species